CACAGUAAAAUCACAGCAAUUACAAGAUGCCAGGAAAUAUUUUGUAGUAGAAAGUAUUCUUGAAAAGAUACAUGGUGCAAGCUGGAAUACAACUUAAAUAGGAGUACAAGGAUAACGAUCUACUGUGCCAAAGCACUUGUGUUGAAAACAAGGAGAGCACCUCCAGCUAGAAUGCCAACUAAGGUGACUGCCCAUAUGGCUAAGCCAGUGGUACCUGCAAUUUUUACCAUUUUUCAAACUUAGAAGAAAGAAACAAAUAGAGAAACUUAUUCUGUGUAACUUGUUAGGGAUUAAAUGGAGGCUGAAAAAGCAGAACUGAAAGGAUAGGCGAAUCAAGAUCUAGAGUUCGUAAAUUCAAAAUGAAUAUGAUCUUAUUGUAUGUACUAUAUAUUUCUAGCUAAAAGCAAGGGUUUCAUAUUAAAUUUCUUGGAAUCCACCCUAAAUUCUUCUCUUGGCUAUUUUGUAGAAGUAAUCAUCAUCAAUCAAUUUCAAAAAAUUGUCAUA
rnacentral:lncRNA from 1 species